rnacentral:lncRNA from 1 species
UGAGGCAGUAGGUCCUAUGGUUCUAUAGCACUACGGUAAGCAAAUGGGAGAGAGGGAGCAAAUCUGGAAUGACAGAAGAUGAUGCAUUUAAGGAUCAGCAGGGAUUCAGUAGGAGCCACAUAUGUAUCAUCCCAGAAGCGAUAUUGCAGUAUUGAGCUACUCUCAAGUUCAAAACUGGAGCAGAAAGGCCAGCUGAGUAGGGUGACUGUUUGGGAAUAUGAAAUUACCUGGAGAAACAGUUACUUUGACAUCCGGAGUGGAUGCAAGGAAGAACUGGUGAAAUUCUCUUCAGUAAGAAAGCUACCAGCAGCCAGCAUAGAACUGGGUUCCUCCUCCAGACCACAGCAAACUCCUGGAUUUCACAAACAAACACCAAAAAUCUCACAGCCACUUUAGUUCCUUUCUAAACUUGGAACUACCCCUGUAUUCCUAGCACAAAGGGUUUUUUUUGUGUGUGUGAUAAAGGGAAAAAGUUAAUUACACAAUUCCUCCUGUUCUCUUCUGGGUUAUGCUAGUGCAGUCUAGACUUGCAAUUUAGAAAGCUGUUUAUAAGCAGCUGCUUGGCAAAGAGCAGACAUCUUUCUUGUAGUCCAGUACAUUUAAAUAUUUAAAGGCCAGCUGCACAGAGCAAUGUCCCAGAACAUUUUCACUGGGACAUGGUGACUCAUACACAGGCAGAGGAAAUGAAUUGGACUUUCUGCCACAAGAUGGGGCUCUGCCUGCCCUGCUUCACCAUACAACCUGUUUUAUGCUUUGCUUCCUCUCCUGCGUGAAAAAUCAUUGUUUCCUCGGUUAUAAUAUGUCUUUUUUUUCUUCUUCUUCUUCUUGUUUUGCUGUUCAGCAGCACAUUUAUUUUCCAUGGCAAGAAAACAACUUUUCUGUCUUGUCCCUAAACAGACACAGAAAACUGACAAAGCCUCCAGGAUCCCCUUGUAUGAGAUAGAUGAGCUGUACUUACAGAAUUAAAGCAAAACCUUUAUUGCAGAGGAAAAUGAUGCUAUAACCACGCCAUCUGUUUCAUAGCCUCCUGGAACAGAAAGCAUUCACGCAGGUUUCCUGCUUCUUACUAUUUCAGCAUUUUGCUCCUAAGAAGCAGAGGACCAAUGACCAGGUUCUGAUGUUUAGUGCUCACCAGCAAAUCAGUAACAGGCUGAAUUUGGCAGAUCCGUGCCAGAUCUUCAUCUUGAAAUCAAAUGUAACCUUGUAUUACAGCAAAACAAUUAUUAGUGCUGUGGUUGUGCCUGGGGGCUUUAACUGGAUCUUCACAAUGACUGGUAGUUAACACAUACAUAAUAAAACUAAUUUGUGCCCUAAGGACUUCUAAUGG